CCAAUGGCAUCCCCUAAACGGACAAAAUGUCAUGUUUGUCUAGAUACAUUCACCAAUCUUGCCCAAAUUUGAGAGAGGUUUGGAGGUGUCCGGACAUUGUCCGGUUCUCUCUUUUGUCUGCCCCGGGCCCACAACAAGAGAUGGGAAAAUGAGAAGAAAAAAAAUAAAAAGGAGAGGAGAAAGGAUAAAAAGAAUGAAAAACUAAUUUGGGAGAUAAAUGUGGGGGCUCUGGUUGGAUGAU
rnacentral:lncRNA from 1 species